UAAAAAGGCGACAUUUUCUUAGCACGCUCUCAAUCUGCCGCAGUCUGCAUUGUGUUCAGUAGCCGUCCUGUGUUCCUAAGAAAAAACACCGAGUUUAAUCAACAUGUCUGACGAGGGAAAGCUUUUCAUUGGUGGUCUGAGUUAUGAUACCAACGAGCAGUCCUUGGAGGAGGCAUUCUCCAAAUAUGGAACCAUUGCUAAAGUUGAUGUCAUCAGGGAUCGUGAGACCGACCGGUCCAGAGGAUUUGGCUUCGUUACAUUUGAAAAUCCAGAGGAUGCUAAGGAUGCCAUGGCUGCAAUGAAUGGGAAGUCCGUCGAUGGCCGCAUGAUUCGUGUUGAUGAAGCCGGCAAAUCUGGAGGAAGGUCUGGUGGCUUCAGAGGAGGUUCUGGUGGUGGUGGCAGAGGGUUCUUCAGGGGUGGUAGAGGAAGAGGUGGGGGAGGAUAUGGUGGAGACAGAAGCUAUGGUAGUGACCGUAGUUACAGUGGAGGUGAUAGGAGCUACAGUGGUGGCGAAAGGAGCUAUGGUGGAGGUGACCGAUCUUAUGGCGGCGGUGGAUACUCCUCCAACAGGAGUGGCGGGUACUCCGGCGGCGGUGGUGGAUACAGGGACAACAGUUUGUCCUAAAUUUUAGGAGCACAGGGGGUUAUGACCGUUCCGGUGGCUCCUACAGAGACAGCUAUGACAGUUACGCUUCACACGAGUAAAAAAAUUCCUGAUUGCAAGAUCAUCCCUUCGCUGGCUGUAUUUAAAAAGAUGCGAUCUUCGAAGACCUUUUUUUAUUUUUGCUUUCUUUGUUUUGUGUUCUGGUUCAAGUGUUCUAAAAGUACAGAUUCUUUUUUUUCUUUUACCGUGUUGAAAGUAUCCACAGAGUGUUCCUCAUUGGGGCACUACCUAAAAUCUUUGAGCAUUCAGUACUGUAAGAAAUCAAGCCGUUUGAGGCUUCCUGUACAUACCACUUUUACCUUGUGAUGUGUUGUAGAAGCUCACAGGGGUUUGAAAUUGUCCUUUUUUGUUUUUCUUUUUAGUGUGUGUUUAAGAAUGUCUCAAACCAUGCGUGAAAAUUGACCGGUCCAGCACAGCCUUAUAGCUUCUAAGACCAAUUUCUACACCAAUUCUUAAUUGCGGCUCACUGGAAGUGCUCGCGGGCAUUUGCAUUUGAACUGAUUUUUAAAGCGGCAGACCUGCCAACUGCAAGUGUAUUCUAAUCAGAUCCUCAAAAGAAGCUUGAUAAGCUGUGAUGUGCUCUUUAUGGCUCCUAGCCACCUCCAUUUUGUGAUGCAUUCCUUUAGUGAAGCAAGGCAGGCAUGUUGCAUUGGAGUUGUCUCCAGCAAACCUCCUUGAAGUAGCUAAAGAUUUGUAAAUAUUCCUUAUGCAAAGAGUAAACUACUUGUACGGGUUAAGUAUCAUUUGCAGCGUUCUCUUGGUGACCCAAUAUACUUUACUCUUUGCACCGCCUAAAAUUUAUUUUUAAAAUAUGCUCUCUACUGUGGACUUCACUUACCCUCUUAAAUGUGUCAAGGUUUUGUUCCUUCUGGAAAAAAAUGUGCUCUGUUCUGUAUAUCAACGCCUCAAUUUUUUUCCUUUUUGUAUUAAAUCUGGCUUCAUGAAGCCCAUUAAAAAUGGAUGGAAAAUUCUCUUGAUUUAUUUAUGCCUCCGAUAUCAAAAGUUUAAUCAGCCAGAAAAAUGUUUUGGAAUGGACUCCUUAGCUAAUUGGGGUAUUUAGAGAAGAUUUCAACCUGUGGGUAUCUUAAAUAUUUACUAGGUAAAAACAGAAUUCAGCAAAAUAAAGGUGGAAACCUUGCUGUUAAAUGUGCUAUAGAUAGCAAUGGCUCUGUGUAAUGCUUCAUUGGAUCCAAGAGUUCUCCUAGCAAUUUUGGAAAUCCACAAUGUCCUUGGAGAAUGAAGUGUUGUGCCUUCCGACUCAAGAAUCCUGAGAUGAAAGCAGCUCUUGGCUAGGUCAAUUGUGGAAAUAGGCCUGUAAUGUGAGGUAAAACCUUUUGCUCUCCUGUACGCAUCCUACAACAGUUCUCAUUGUCCAUGUUUCCUUCGAAUAGUGCCUCAAGUGAUUAUCACAUCUCCAGACUUGUUCGACUCAGUAACACAAACCUAAAAUCUGCAUGACUUUACUUUUGGUAGCUCACUUAUGGUGGUAAAUAUGGCUCGUGCAGCCCUUGAAAAUAGAGGAUUCAAGUAUUUCCUUGUGCUGAGAUUUUUUUUUUUUUUUGCCAGCUCAAUGUCAGCUCUUUGAUCACUUAA